CAAGGCUUCGUGACUACCUGCCCAGAGGGGCCAGCCACAGCCUCCUCUCACACCGGCCGAUGGCUGCGCCCAUGAGGACGCUGAGGCUGGGAAGCCACCAGGGAGGUUGGCGGGGCCACUGGGACUGGACAGGGUCAAGGAUGAGACCAGCUCGCACCCGGGGCCCUGGAUGGAGCCUCCCCUCCAGCUUCUCUGGGACUGAGGCUGGGAGCUGUCAGGAAGACAAACAGGACUCGCUGGCCCUGGUUGCCCCUGCUGUCCCCUAGAUCUGGGGGAGCCUGCAAGGCAGUCGGCUGGAGAGAGGGUCCGGGUUCAGGCAUCCUUCUGAGCGGUUUCACGGCUUUUCUAGCAUAACUUUCCAAACCCCAAACGCCCUCGGAUGCACUCAGAUGUGCCGUACACAACAGGAAGCUCAGCAGGACAUGCACAGUCCAGGAACAUGCACGACCCAGGAGACACCCAAGACCCAGGGGACAUGUGUGACCCGGGAGACACAUGUGACAUCGCCACGGAGCACAGCAGAGAUGGCACAGCUGCAAAGGCCACGGCGCCCACCCAGAGCUGGUAGAUGGGGCAAUGGCGCCGCAGAGGUGGGCCCCACAGCCUUCAGCACGGGGGCGUCUGAGCCAUGGCCCGGCGCAGAGCGGGAAGGCGGCAGGAGCUCUGAGAUGAGAGAGGUGAUGAGGUUGUAGCAAUGUAGGAAUGAAAUACAUCACAUCGGCCGCAAGUGGACAAGGUGCAAACCACUGAAAUAAAGCCAUUACCACACAGGCGGACAGGA
rnacentral:antisense_RNA from 1 species